GUGGCUUAAUGGUAGAGUGUUUGCCUUGCAUGCAAGAGGCCCUGGGUUCAAUUCCUCAGC
rnacentral:tRNA from 1 species